AACACUGUUAACCUGCGGUACCUGCGGAGGGAUCAUUAUAGUAUAUGGAAUCUCCAUUCUAUAAACCCACUCUGCGUAUCUUGUAACUGUUGCUUCCAUGGGACUUGGUUCCGCCACACCGGCUUCACGGCUGGUGAGCGCCCAUGGAAGGAGAAACAAAACUCUUCUUUGAAAUGUAGUCAGUCUGAACAAGUUUUUAUAAACGUUAAAACUUUUAGCAACGGAUCUCAGAUCGGAAGA
rnacentral:misc_RNA from 1 species